rnacentral:rRNA from 1 species
ACGAACGCUGGCGGCGUGCUUAACACCUGCAAGUCGAACGGAAAGGCCCUGCUUUUGUGGGGUGCUCGAGUGGCGAACGGGUGAGUAACACGUGAGUAACCUGCCCUUGACUUUGGGAUAACUUCAAGAAACUGGGGCUAAUACCGGAUAGGAGCUCCUGCUGCAUGGUGGGGGUUGGAAAGUUUCGGCGGUUGGGGAUGGACUCGCGGCUUAUCAGCUUGUUGGUGGGGUAGUGGCUUACCAAGGCUUUGACGGGUAGCCGGCCUGAGAGGGUGACCGGCCACAUUGGGACUGAGAUACGGCCCAGACUCCUACGGGAGGCAGCAGUGGGGAAUAUUGCACAAUGGGCGGAAGCCUGAUGCAGCAACGCCGCGUGCGGGAUGACGGCCUUCGGGUUGUAAACCGCUUUCGCCUGUGACGGAGCGUGAGUGACGGUAAUGGGUAAAGAAGCACCGGCUAACUACGUG